GGAAACAGAUGCUAAUACCGGAUAACAACAGAUGAUGCCUAUCAACUGUUUAAAAGAUGGUUCUGCUAUCACUCUUGGAUGGACCUGCGGUGCAUUAGCUAGUUGGUAGGGUAACGGCCUACCAAGGCGAUGAUGCAUAGCCGAGUUGAGAGACUGAUCGGCCACAUUGGGACUGAGACACGGCCCAAACUCCUACGGGAGGCAGCAGCU
rnacentral:rRNA from 1 species